GUGGGGAAUAUUGGACAAUGGGCGAAAGCCUGAUCCAGCAAUGCCGCGUGAGUGAUGAAGGCCCUAGGGUUGUAAAGCUCUUUUACCCGGGAUGAUAAUGACAGUACCGGGAGAAUAAGCUCCGGCUAACUCCGUGCCAGCAGCCGCGGUAAUACGGAGGGAGCUAGCGUUGUUCGGAAUUACUGGGCGUAAAGCGCGCGUAGGCGGUUUUCCAAGUCAGGGGUGAAAGCCCGGGGCUCAACCCCGGAAUAGCCCUUGAAACUGGAAGACUAGAAUCUUGGAGAGGUCAGUGGAAUUCCGAGUGUAGAGGUGAAAUUCGUAGAUAUUCGGAAGAACACCAGUGGCGAAGGCGACUGACUGGACAAGUAUUGACGCUGAGGUGCGAAAGCGUGGGGAGCAAACAGGAUUAGAAACCCUUGUAGUCC
rnacentral:rRNA from 1 species